rnacentral:rRNA from 1 species
CUAUGUGUUGUUGGGUAGGGGAGCGUUCUGUAAGCCUGUGAAGGUGUACUGUGAGGUAUGCUGGAGGUAUCAGAAGUGCGAAUGCUGACAUAAGUAACGAUAAAGCGGGUGAAAAGCCCGCUCGCCGGAAGACCAAGGGUUCCUGUCCAACGUUAAUCGGGGCAGGGUGAGUCGACCCCUAAGGCGAGGCCGAAAGGCGUAGUCGAUGGGAAACAGGUUAAUAUUCCUGUACUUGGUGUUACUGCGAAGGGGGGACGGAGAAGGCUAUGUUGGCCGGGCGACGGUUGUCCCGGUUUAAGCGUGUAGGCUGGUUUUCCAGGCAAAUCCGGAAAAUCAAGGCUGAGGCGUGAUGACGAGGCACUACGGUGCUGAAGCAACAAAUGCCCUGCUUCCAGGAAAAGCCUCUAAGCAUCAGGUAACAUCAAAUCGUACCCCAAACCGACACAGGUGGUCAGGUAGAGAAUACCAAGGCGCUUGAGAGAACUCGGGUGAAGGAACUAGGCAAAAUGGUGCCGUAACUUCGGGAGAAGG